ensembl:ncRNA lncRNA:CR45911 long non-coding RNA:CR45911
GUGAAAGAGCAUUCGCCGGAGAGAGUGGUUCAAUGCGCUCACUGCGUCAGCGCAGAGCCGUGGAAAGUGAAAAGGAAGGAGCAAGGACGAAAUACAUUUUGUGUAUUUUCGGCGGUCGGCGGUUGGGGGCGCGCCGUUUUUUGCCCUUUUUUCGCGCGCGCCCGUUGUAAUUGAAAACUAUACCGCGACACGAAGGCGGCCCGAAGUCCUGCCCAAGUCUCGCACUCACUCCGCCGCAGUCGGGCGCACUCGGGCGCACGCAUACACACACACGCACGCCGGCACGAAGGACGAGCGAAAGGACGAAGCCAAAAAGCAAACGAGCACCGUCGCCGCGGCAGUUCUCUGUUCUCCGCUCUGAGUGUGGUUGUAAAAAGGCGAAAACGUCACGGGAAAAACCGGUUAAUAAAUUAUUGCUAAUCGUAAUGGUAAAAUGCACAAUAAAUAUAUAAAUAAAUGUGAAUAACAUAAAAUCAAACUAACUGCACGGCCCCGAAAAAGUGCGCAUAGAAAAAUGUCUUAGAAGCGCCCGAGAGCAGUGAAAAUUCCAAGUGAAAAGCCAAGCGGUGAAAAUUUCCAACGGAACAACGUACGCUUGCUGGCGUUCCUUUUUUUCCUACAUAGUCCAUUGUUUUGCGGACAUUUAGAAACUGCGCAAAAGGCACAGGAUGCGUGGAGCGGAUGUGAAAAGUUGAUCAACUUCCACGGCACUAGCGAUACGCUUGUGUCCGCAGGAUACGGAGUACAGCAGUAGCCGGAAACUAUCGAGAUGCCAGGAUAAAGGUGUCCAGAGGAGCACCCUGACAGGCUGGGAGACCCAGCAUCGAAUCCCUCAACUAAAAGCGCUUUAAGUAUAUCUCGCCCUUGGGCGGUACUCCCAAAAAAAAAAACGUAAUACAAGUCAGCAAGGAUAUAUGCUCCUGAAGGUGAAGACUGCAAAAGUGGCUGCGUCGGCGGCCGUCGCCCUGAAACAGGAACAAAGCCGAAGGAUCAAGGAGCGGGAGUGGCUGAACAACAACAAUCAGCCCUGGCCAUAAAUGAAUUUUACGUAUUUCGGUAUACACACUACAAGCGCCGACUAGCGCCAGGACCAAAGCCCCAGGACGAUGGGUUCGAGUUUGAGUUCCAUUUCGAGGAUGACGAUGAUGAUGAUUAUGAGGAAAAGCCAGAGGGAAAUGGAAAUGGAGAAGGAAUAGGAAUAGAAAUAGGCAAAACCAGCGGCAAUGGCAAAGGCAAGGGUGGGUGGCUCUAGACCAAGUUCGUCUGCGAUUGUACGAGUAGUAAUACACACACAGGCACAGCAGAUGUCGUAUAGAGAAAGAGUGCCAACGGGAAGAGGGAAAAGAGAGUGUGUCGGUGUGUGAGUCUGUGAGUGCGGGAGAGAGGAGCAUAAGGGAUGGUCGCCGCUUACUUUUCAUACACAUUUAUGUGUAUUGUACUACGCGACUGCAAAAACUGCAGCGGGCGCAGGAAGGGGAUGGGGAAGGUGAAAGAGCCAAGGAGCGGCAACAACAAACCGAGACUAGCCACAAAUCAAUCAGCCGACAGGGAAACACCCUACACAGCAAAAAAAUUUGUUCGAUCGAAUGUUUUAUCCGUGAUCCAUUAAAUGAAUUUAUUCAAAUUUAAAUUAUCCCAGUAUAAAAAAGUCAAAAUGUUUAUAAAAUCUUUAUAAAACAAUUACUCCAAUCUACCUAUAAUUCAAUUCUAAUAUAUAUUUUUUGGAACAACUUUUGUAAUCUUAGAUGAUUAAUAACUUUAUAUACUGAUUUUAAAGAAAGAUUAGAAUUGAUAAUCGAGUCUCAAUUUGGUUUUCAAACGAUAGAAUUUCACCGCCGUUUUUCUCAGUGCGCAUUUAAACUCAAUUACCGGAGAUCCUUACUAGCAAGGAAUGGGGUUAGACCAGUCCUUCCCCUAAAAGUCUCGAAAUGUAUCUAAAUUCGAAUAUGCCUUGGGCCGCAGCUACUCAAAUUCAAUUUCGAAAAAUUCGUUCUUUUUGGCCGGAGUGGUAAUGGUGGUUGAUGUUCCCGCCGCCGCCUGAUCCUGAAUCCUUAGUCCUGGGAAGGGCAUGUUAAGGGUGAACCGGCCGCACUCUCACACAAAGACACACACUCACACAUGUGUACAUAUAAAGCGGCGAGACGGACGUACAGACAGCGGCGGGAAGCACAGUUAGACUAGAUGGCAGACGAUUCAGCAGCGGCAGAGGGCGGUGGUCGCCGUCGCAGUCGACGCCGGCGUACGCACACACACUUAUGAAAAUGCACUAGCACAUAGGCAGGCAUAUCCUGCGAUGCAUACACAUACAUAUAUACAUAUGUAUGCAACAUGCAACGAAUUUCGGCUACUUAACCUACAGAACAAAGGAGGAUACAGAAAAAAUGAAACGUAAGGAAGACAGGCUGGGAAGGAUAAGCCUGCGCAAGGCGCGCAAAAGGACACGCGCACACACAGCCAUACUCCCCCACACAAACACACACACAAACGCUCUCAAGACUAAUUUAAUCCUGUGGCUCAGUUGAAUUCAGUUUCAGUUCCCUCGGCAACCCAACCGCCCCGCUCAGACGAAUUAUACGAGAGUCCGGAAAUGGGAAAACUACAGGAUACAACCAACCCACACCAGCACACAAGCACACACACAGAUUCUCUCACUCGUGCACUCACACACACAUACGCACGCACGAAAGCCGCUUAACGUUACGUUAGUUACUUUACGCUGCGCAUUUAGCGGCAUGUAAAUGGCGUUAUUACGCCCUAAACGCCUUACGUCGUCGCCGGUUACGUGAAUUACAUCGGUUUCCUUUGCAGCUGUGUGUGUGUGUGUGUGUGCGAUGUGUGUGAUGGUGUGUGUGCGUCGACGUUACCUCGUAUCUUACUUUCAAUGUCAUCAAAAAGGGCUGAAGAAAGAUAUUUCUGCAUUUGAAUCGUAUCACAGCCAGCUUUGAUGGGCAUUGCAAUGAGCAGCGAUAGCAAAAUGUGACCCGUGGCGUGACCUAUGACCCCGCUCGAUGCGAAUGCAGAAAGCCAGUUCGCGAAUUGGGCAUAACGAUUGGAUGCUAAACCAACAAGUGUUUGUGAUCCAAGCCAUAAUUCUUACGUAACUCCUCAAAGGGUUGUGAAAUGUCGACUAUUAUCUACUCAUAUCACAGCCAUUUUGAUGAGUUUCGUGCGAAUCGCGGCAGCGGAUCAAAAAACAUAUUUCAUAACCGACUGACUGAACCACGUCUUUCUUAUACCAUGUCGUUAAAAUGUUUGUGAACUUAUGUAUUCACAAUCAUAUCACAGCCAUUUUGACGAGUUUGGGUAAAGAAAUCUCAACAUUGAACGGAUCUAUCCUGCACUCGUCGACGACGCCCAAUAACCAUCUGAAAAUCGGAGAAGGAAUAAGGAU